CGAGGGUGCUCCUCGGUCUGGGACGGACAAGGCCUCGAUAACCUCAAUCCUCCCAGGUCAGGAGCACCUUUCUCAUGUCCGACACACCCUCAAACGAUCACCGGUGAAAG
rfam:Frankia symbiont of Datisca glomerata, complete genome.